rnacentral:rRNA from 1 species
UGACCUGGCUCAGGAUGAACGCUGGCGGCGUGCCUAAUACAUGCAAGUCGAGCGAAUGGAUUAAGAGCUUGCUCUUAUGAAGUUAGCGGCGGACGGGUGAGUAACACGUGGGUAACCUGCCCAUAAGACUGGGAUAACUCCGGGAAACCGGGGCUAAUACCGGAUAAUAUUUUUCACUGCAUAGUGAAAAAUUGAAAGGCGGCUUCGGCUGUCACUUAUGGAUGGACCCGCGUCGCAUUAGCUAGUUGGUGAGGUAACGGCUCACCAAGGCGACGAUGCGUAGCCGACCUGAGAGGGUGAUCGGCCACACUGGGACUGAGACACGGCCCAGACUCCUACGGGAGGCAGCAGUAGGGAAUCUUCCGCAAUGGACGAAAGUCUGACGGAGCAACGCCGCGUGAGUGAUGAAGGCUUUCGGGUCGUAAAACUCUGUUGUUAGGGAAGAACAAGUGCUAGUUGAAUAAGCUGGCACCUUGACGGUACCUAACCAGAAAGCCACGGCUAACUACGUGCCAGCCG